GGUUCCGGGAAGAAAGGUGGCCUCUCCUUGGAAGCUAUCGCUUAAGGAUGGUCCCGCGUCCCAUUAGCUUGUUGGUGGGGUAAUGGCCUACCAAGGCUACGAUGGGUAGCCGGCCUGAGAGGGUGUCCGGCCACACUGGGACUGAGAUACGGCCCAGACUCCUACGGGAGGCAGCAGUCGAGAAGCUUCGGCAAUGGGCGAAAGCCUGACCGAGCGACGCCGCGUGAGCGAUGAAGGUCCUAUGGAUUGUAAAGCUCUGUCAGAUUGGGAAGAAAACUUCGCGAUUAAUACCCGCGAAGCUUGACGGUACCAUCAGAGGAAGCACCGGCUAACUCCGUGCCAGCAGCCGCGGUAAUACGGAGGGUGCGAGCGUUGUUCGGAUUCACUGGGUAUAAAGGGUGCGUAGGCGGCCUCGUAAGUCAGGGGUGAAAUAUGACGGCUCAACCGUCAAACUGCCCCUGAAACUGCAAGGCUUGAGUCCGGGAGAGGAAGGUGGAAUUCCUGGUGUAGCGGUGAAAUGCGUAAAUAUCAGGAGGAACACCGGUGGCGAAGGCGGCCUUCUGGUCCGGUACUGACGCUGAGGCACGAAAGCUAGGGGAGCGAACAGGAUUAGAUACCCUGGUAGUCCUAGCCGUAAACGAUGGGCACUAGGUGUCGGAGGAGUCUACCCCUUCGGUGCCGCAGCUAAUGCAUUAAGUGCCCCACCUGGGGAGUACGAUCGCAAGGUUGAAACUCAAAGGAAUUGACGGGGGCCCGCACAAGCGGUGGAGCAUGUGGUGUAAUUCGAUGCAACGCGAAGAACCUUACCUGGGCUUGACAUGCAGGGGACAGGUGCAGAAAUGUACCCUUCUUCGGACCCCUGUGCAGGUGCUGCAUGGCUGUCGUCAGCUCGUGUCGUGAAAUGUUGGGUUAAGUCCCGCAACGAGCGCAACCCCUGUCUUCAGUUGCCAUCAGUUCGGCUGGGGACUCUGGAGAGACUGCCGGUGACAAACCGGAGGAAGGUGGGGGCGACGUCAAGUCAUCAUGGCCCUUACGCCCAGGGCUACACACGUGCUACAAUGGUCGGUACAAUGGGCCGCAAUACCGUGAGGUGGAGCGAAUCCCAAAAAGCCGGCCUCAGUUCGGAUUGGAGUCUGCAACUC
rnacentral:rRNA from 1 species